UUAAAAACACAUUAUACUUCACUAUUGUAUCAAAUGGAUAAAAAUAGUUCUUCAUUAAGGAGGAAACCAAACGACUAGAUUAAGGCUGAAAACAUCGUAAAAGAUUAAACCAUUGUUAAGCCUUUAAGACCUAAACAUAUCAUUAAAAACAUGCUUGUAUUUGGCUCCACUUGUUAUGGGAAAACUUUGUUUUAUAGAGAUUUUUUAAAUGUUUGGGAGAUUUCAUUAGUGUUGACAAACAUGUGGUGAAACCUUUGUUUCUCAAAGGCUUUCUUGAAAUAUAGUAAACAAGCAGUCUCAUUUUGACAGAACUCAAAACUUGUAAGAGGAGCCAAUACACAUACAUAUCAAUUGGUUGCUUAGUUGAGUUAACGAGAUCGCAACAGCAGGCUUCAAAGGCACUAACCUAAACAGUGUCUUAACAUCCAUUGCUACAUAAUCACUCAACAGUUAAUCGAGGAUUUGGAACCGGAGUCCACAGACUUCUCAGUGCAUUUGAGAGGCCGAGGUAGAACUUCAGUGUCCUCUAUUUUUCCUCAGAUAAUACUGGAAUCAUGGUCUUCCUAUCCUUGCCUACAUACAAAAACGUAGACAACAAGUCAGAACAACAUCCAAAUAAAGAAAAACAAUUCAAGAAUGAAAACAAGCUCCAAGACACUUACUUUAAGAAAAGAAUACAAUCUUUGUCUUCUCCAUACCCUUUGGACUCGAACUCCUAAAAACCACAAGGUACACAUCAUCCUAGUGGUUAUCUCCCCCCUUUAGCAGUGACACUAAAUGUUUUCCUUGAACCUAUUACACAUAGUACAUCCCCUCAGCUUGGGACUUCAUAAUAUAAAUAAAUGACAAGAUGGCCGCUGAAAUCACAUAGAAUGGGAGAAAGAGGAAACUUUAAUCCAUCCUAGUGGCUGAGAGCUAUCUUUGGAUCUGUG
rnacentral:lncRNA from 1 species